rnacentral:rRNA from 1 species
AAUGAACGCUGGCGGCAGGCCUAACACAUGCAAGUCGAACGGAUCCUUCGGGAUUAGUGGCGGACGGGUGAGUAACGCGUGGGAACAUACCCUUUGGUACGGAAUAGCCUCGGGAAACUGGGAGUAAUACCGUAUGUGGUCGAGAGACGAAAGAUUUAUCGCCAAAGGAUUGGCCCGCGUUGGAUUCGGUAGUUGGUGGGGUAAUGGCCUACCAAGCCGACGAUCCAUAGCUGGUUUGAGAGGAUGAUCAGCCACACUGGGACUGAGACACGGCCGAGACUCCUACGGGAGGCAGCAGUGGGGAAUCUUAGACAAUGGGGGAAACCCUGAUCUAGCCAUGCCGCGUGAUCGAUGAAGGCCUUAGGGUUGUAAAGAUCUUUCAGGUGGGAAGAUAAUGACUGUACCACCAGAAGAAGCCCCGGCUAACUCCGUGCCAGCCGCCGCGGUAA